rnacentral:lncRNA from 1 species
UAUUUUGUACAGAUCAGGACUGGUAACUGCUGCUGCUUCCUUUGUAGCCGCUUCUUCUGCCGCCUUUUUACCGGAGAACUCAUGGUUAAGUGAAAUAAUCAAGCAAAACCAGGACUUGUUCUACCUUGUUGGUGCUGGUGGUUUGGGGCUAUCUCUGUUUCUGAUUCAUAUAUAUGUAACGGAGAUCAAGAAGACGCUUCAGGCUUUAUGGGCACUUGGUGUUGUUGGUUCUUUAGCCGCGUACGCUUCCCUUGCUAGACCAGCUAGUGAUAGCUUGGUUCAGUAUGUCGUUGAUAAUCCAACUGCUGUUUGGUUUGUUGGUCCUCUUUUCGCUUCCCUCACUGGGCUCGUUUUCAAAGAAGGUAGUUCGAGGAUGUGGUUUACUAAUGUAUAUCAAGCUUCAUAGUUCAUGCUAAUGUUCUUGAUUUUUUUUUUUUUUUUUUUUUUUUUUUUGGAGGCUCUCAAGGUACUCUUAUCCCACUUAAAGCUAGUGACUUUCAUUCGAUUUGAGCUGCAGAUUAGUACACCAACUACGUGAUUGGUUAUUCCAAAUAGCAAUAAGGAAAUUGUAUACCAAUUCUUGAUUGUGUGUGUUCUAGAUGAAUAUUGGAGGCUUACCUUUCAUGGCCUAAUCCUUGGCAUGAUAAUGAUGCAUCUAGCAAUGUGGUUUGUUUAUUGAUGUCUUUAGGAGCCAAUUGCAUUUAUGGGUGGGAUGUUUGCUGGACUACUAAGACUUGAUCUGAACGAAGAACCGCUUAAAGAAUGGGUGACGCGAACAGUUGAAGCCUCAGGUAUCACAGAAGAGGAAGUAGCUGAUGCAGAUGGAAUGGCCUCCAACGAAGAAGAAUCUCCUCAACAGAUAGAGAUUGAAUGAGGUCUUGAACCUUUACUCAUUACCGUUAUCUCACUUCAUACAGCAGUUGUGAUUGUGGUUACUGUCUGUACCAUCUCCAAGGAGAAAUGUAGCAGCUUGCUUUUUGUAUGUAUGUAACCGUAAAAACUAAAACGAGAGUUAAGCUUUCAAAAUAAACUCUUUUGUUUACAGUUUACACGUCGUCACUCUAUCACAGUACAGUUUCGUAGAUGAAAUUAUCCCUGCUGUUUUUGUCCGAACUGAUCAAGGCCAACCAAACUAAACCGAAACUUUCGGUUUUCGGUUCGGUUAUGAUCUUGAGUUUGGUUUAGUUCAGUAGGGUUUUGAAAAUUGGUUUGGUUUUACGUCUGCUUCUGUUUUUUAUUUAAAAAAAAAUAAAUAUAAUAAUCGAAAAGUAGUUGAAAUAACCGAACUAAAUUAACUUAACUGACCAAAAUAAUCGAAAUUACCCAGAAUAUCCCGAUUUUUAAGAAAGUUAUACCCAAUUCUAACCGGAAACAAAAAAAAAAGUUAUUUUUGAAAAUAAAAGUGAUUACCACAAUUAACCGAUAACCAAACCAAAAUAUAAUUCAGUAAAUUUUGGAAUUAUUUUUUAAAAAUUUUGGUUAACGGAAAAACAAAUCUUCGGUUUGGUUCGGUUCUGGAAAACCGAAAUCGCAAGGCUAUAUGAAACAAUUAUUAACCACAGAUACUUCGGUCAAGAACAACUAAGCGACGUCACUGUUAAAGCCACAUCGUUUUAAGUCAUCUGAUGAAUCUGCGCUCUUGCCAAGACAGAAGUGAGUUCUGUUCUGUCUCUUCCUUUUAUCAAUUCGCUGUGACUAUGGCCUCGCGUUUAUUAUCGACGACACUCAUCACACCGCCGGCAAAUCUCAACAAAUCGUCGUCGGGUCUAACGGCGAGAGUUAGGUUGAGAAAGGGAAGGCUUAGUAUCAGGGCAGUAAGCGGCAGCUCUCAAGGAGGUUCCGUAGAUGGAACCGUGUACAAAGGCGUUUAUGGUCCCUGGACCGUUGAGCAGUCUGAUGUCAAAGAGGUGCGUCUCUUCCAUACGAGUUAUACUUCAAUUGGGUUCCUUAAAAGUUAAUAUAUUGGAUGGUUGGAACAUGCAAGUUGAAUCCUUUAUCACAGUUUUUAACUUUUUAAGUCUAAUUUGUUCAUGCAACUCAGGAAAGAUAGAGUUUUUAUUAGCUUUAUGUUGAAAAAAUUUGCUUCUUGAACUUUGAAGUUAAGCCUAUCUAGUACCUCUUCCUCUUCAGGUUAUUUUGUACAGAUCAGGACUGGUAACUGCUGCUGCUUCCUUUGUAGCCGCUUCUUCUGCCGCCUUUUUACCGGAGAACUCAUGGUUAAGUGAAAUAAUCAAGCAAAACCAGGACUUGUUCUACCUUGUUGGUGCUGGUGGUUUGGGGCUAUCUCUGUUUCUGAUUCAUAUAUAUGUAACGGAGAUCAAGAGGACGCUUCAGGCUUUAUGGGCACUUGGUGUUGUUGGUUCUUUAGCCG